GAUAAAACAUGAGUAUGACUCCAGUUCUGCGGGCUCACUUCUUCUAAUUCUUCAAUUUAGAUCAUGGCUGGGCUAACACAGAAGCAGGCUGUCAAACAUCCUGAGCCUUGAGAGAAUGAGAAACAACUCUGUAAACAAUGGAACUAAUGGAACCUGGUUUCCUAAAGAUUUCUGUGGAACUUCUUAUAAGAAAAGAGCACCUCAGUAAUCAAGUCCAGAAUCCCUCCACCAGAGACAACCAUGCAAUAGUCACUCCUUUAGAAGGGCACACAAAAUUGCUACUCCCUCUCUAUCUCUCAAAGACGCUUCCUAUCACGUGAAUUUCAGACCUGAAGUGAAAGAUCGAGGAACACACUUAUAAUUACUAUGGAAAGAGAAGAGAAAAGAUGAAGUAUGUUACCAGUGAUUUAUACCUCUACUAAGCCGUAUUUUUGCUCGAUGACUCUAGCAAGUCUGUUGCACACUACAGAAGACUAAAGUGAUGAUCUAAAGUGAUCUCUGCCAGUCAAACCUGAGAAAAUACUCCUUUCCAGACCCCAAAUCAAGCAAUUGGAGUAACGCUGGGUGUGUGAGCAAGACUCAUUGGCCAGGCAUCUGUCAGAGUUUAAUACUGCUUGCCAAAUACACUCACACGCCACUUUCAUGCAGUUUAGUUGUGAGACAAGAAUGAGGAGAAAAAAAGACACAGAGUUCAUGUUGUACGUUCUUGAGGAUGACAUUAUUCACAUUCCAUUCCAUUUUCAGAAAAGAAAGGACCAGAGCUUUUAGGCAAAUACUGACACUACGUGUCAGAUAUGGUGAGAUUUUAGCUUGGACAGCACAGGAAUUUCCUAUUUCAUUUGUAAGAGCCAAAAAAAAUAAAAAAUAAAACAAAAUAGCAAACUAACAAACCAAAAAUCAUUGUUUUGAAAUAGUCAGCAUAGCCCAGAUUAAAAAAGUAAUAAUAACUA